UACAAAUGAAGAAAAAGCUAAAGGAGAAAAUACAAGAGAAAAAAGAAAUUUUGUCCUUACCGACAAAAACGACUAAGGAAAAGAAAACUGUAAAGAUGCGUAAGAAGAAACUCGAAAGAAAAAUAAAGAAAAUUAGAAAGAUCUGCAAAAUAACUAGAAAGGAAUUGAAAAGAAUUC